GACGAAUGCUGGCGGCGUGCUUAACACAUGCAAGUCGAACGAUGAAGAAGAGAAACGCGAACUUCGGUUCAAAUUUCACUUCGGAUUAGUGGCAGACGGGUGAGUAACGCGUGAGCAACCUACCUCUUACAAAGGGAUAGCCUCGGGAAACCGUGAUUAAUACCAUAUGACACAUUCAUAAGGCAUCUUAAGAAUGUUAAAGCUACGGCGGUAAGAGAUGGGCUCGCGUCCCAUUAGCUAGUUGGUGAGGUAACGGCCCACCAAGGCGACGAUGGGUAACCGGCCUGAGAGGGUGAACGGUCACAUUGGAACUGAGACACGGUCCAAACUCCUACGGGAGGCAGCAGUGGGGAAUAUUGCACAAUGGAGGGAACUCUGAUGCAGCGACGCCGCGUGAGCGAUGAAGGAAUUCGUUUCGUAAAGCUCUGUUCUAUGGGAAGAAAAGGACUGUACCAUAGGAGAAAGCCCCGGCUAAAUACGUG
rnacentral:rRNA from 1 species